GACGAGUUUUGGUGAGUUUGGGGAUGUCAGCUUGGUGCAGUCUAAGCUUCCAAAGAAGCUUAAGAAGAGGCGUCAAAUUGUUAGUGAGGAUGGUCCGGCUGGCUUUGAGGAAUACAUUGAUUACUUGUUCCCUGAAGAAACACAAACUACAAAUCUCAAGAUUCUUGAAGCCGCAUACCGUUGGAAGAAGCAGAAAGUCGACGAUAAUUAAUUUGGCCUUUCUU
rnacentral:misc_RNA from 1 species